GGAGAGAUGUCCGAGCUGGCUUAAGGAGCACGCCUGGAAAGCGUGUGGGCCGUAAGGCCUCCUGGGUUCGAAUCCCAGUCUCUCCG
rnacentral:tRNA from 1 species